AGAUUAAGCCAUGCAUGUCUCAGUACAAGCCGUCCUGUACGGUGAAACCGCGAAAGGCUCAGUAAAUCAGUUAUGGUUCCUUAGAUUGUACCCACUUUACUUGGAUAACUGUGGUAAUUCUAGAGCUAAUACAUGCCGACAGAGUUCCGACCAGCGCCGGAUACGGUUCGCCGUGCUCGGUGUUCGGAAGGAACGCUCUUAUUAGAUCAAAACCGGCCAAGCACUCGUUCGCGUUUCGGCGCGUUCGGCUGUAAGCGGCCCGCGCAAAGACUUGACGACUCUGAAUAAUUUCGAGCUGAUCGCACGGUCUCGCACCGGCGACGUAUCUUUCAAAUGUCUGCCUUAUCAACUGUCGACGGUAGGUUCGAUGCCUACCGUGGUGGUAACGGGUAACGGGGAAUCAGGGUUCGAUUCCGGAGAGGGAGCCUGAGAAACGGCUACCACAUCCAAGGAAGGCAGCAGGCGCGCAAAUUACCCACUCCCAGCUCGGGGAGGUAGUGACGAAAAAUAACGAUACGGGACUCAUCCGAGGCCCCGUAAUCGGAAUGAGUACACUUUAAAACCUUGGUCACACGAGGAUCAAU
rnacentral:rRNA from 1 species